rnacentral:lncRNA from 1 species
UAUGAUUAAGUUGUCCUAUUGAACUUAGAUCUUGGGAUCUCCAGUCAACUAAGUUAGGUUUCCCUCAUAUUCCCAUUAACCACGGGCUUUAGUCCCAUUCCUCUUGACGACGUUUCUACUAACUCUCUGCUUAAGCCUUUUGUAAACGGGUCCGCAAUGUUAUCCGCUGAUCUCACAUAAUCAAUUGUGAUAACACCCGUUGAGAGUAGUUGUCGUAUCGUGUUAUGUCUACGUCGCAUAUGCCUUGAUCUGCCAUUGUACAUCAAGCUUUGAGCUCUACCAAUCGCUGAUUGGCUAUCACAAUGUACACAUAUGGCUGGCAAAGGCUUUGGCCAUCUUGGAAUAUCUUCCACGAAUUGACGUAGCCAUUCCGCCUCCUCGCCUGACUUAUCCAAGGCGAUAAAUUCAGAUUCCAUUGUGGAUCUCGCUAUGACCGUUUGCUUAGAAGACUUCCAAGCAAUAGCAGCUCCUCCAAGUGUAAACACGUAACCACUUGUUGAUUUGGAAUCUUUAUUAUCCGAUAUCCAGUUUGCAUCAGUGUAUCCUUCGAUCACUGCUGGUUGUCGGGUAUAAUGCAGUCCAUAGUCUCUUGUGUAUCGUAUGUAUCUAAGCACCCUCGUGAUAGCCUUCCAAUGAUCCGCGCACGGAUUGCUGGUGUAUCUACUUAGCCUACUCACCGCGUAAGCCAAGUCGGGUCUAGUACAUGUCAUUAGAUACAUUAGACUGCCUAUAAUUCUUGAAUACUCUAACUGAGCAACUCCAACUCCUUUAUUCUUCUUGAGAUGUUGGGAGGUAUCAACUGGAGUUCGAGCGACACUCGUAUCUCCCGAGUUGAAUUUUUCAAGAAUUUUAUCCACAUAGUGAGAUUGACUUAACACAAGACCUUCUUGGGUUCUUAUGAUCUUUACUCCAAGAAUCACAUCCGCUAAACCCAUGUCUUUCAUGUCAAAUCUCGCUUUCAACAUGCUUUUAGUAGCUUUGAUAAUUUUAUCAUUACUCCCAAUGAUAAGCAUAUCGUCUACAUAAAGGCAUAAGAUGACAUAACCUUCAUUUGUGUCUUUGAAAUAAACACAUUUGUCGCACUCAUUUAUUUUGAAACCAUUGUCAAUCAUGACAUGAUCAAACUUUUGGUGCCAUUGUUUUGGUGCUUGCUUCAAGCCAUACAAAGACUUGACGAGUUUACAUACUUUACCCUCUUGACCUGGGGCGGAGAAACCUUCAGGUUGCUCCAUGUAAAUUUCUUCUUCUAAAUCGCCAUUUAGAAAUGCGGUUUUAACGUCCAUUUGGUGAACUUCCAAAUUUCUUAAAGCCGCUAUAGCAAGAACCAAUCUAAUCGAGGUUAUGCGCGUCACAGGAGAGUAGGUAUCAAAGUAAUCUAGACCUUCCUUUUGUCUAAAUCCUUUAAUCACCAACCUAGCCUUGUACUUAUCAAUACUUCCAUCAGUUUUCAUCUUCCUUUUGAAUAUCCAGCGAUAUCCAAGUGGUUUGCAACCAGGUGGAAGAUCUACUAACUCCCAAGUAUGAUUUUGCAAUAUAGAAUCUAUUUCAUUUUUUAUUGCUUCUUUCCAUUGAGGUCCUUCUGAAGAGGAAACCGCUUCGCGAUAUGUAUUGGGGUCGCCCUCAACCAUAUAGCUAACAAAGUCUGGACCGAAGGAUUUUUCAACCCUUGGCCUUUUACUUCGCCUACGAUCGGUUUCUUCAACCUCAGGUUGUUCAUGUGUCUUAUCAUGAACCACCUCAUCAACUGGUGUAGAUGAACUUUCACCUACUUCAAAAUUGGGUGUUGAUGACGUUGCAUGUGUUUGUCUUCUCAAAGGAAACACAUUUUCAAAGUAAGACACAACGUUAGAAUUCACCUCCAUAAUAGUGUUUACGUGUACAUCAGGAUUCUUGGACUCAUGUACAAGAAAGCGAUGUGCACUACUUUGAUGUGCAUACCCAAUAAAUAUGCAAUCAACAGUUUUGGGUCCUAUCCUAAGAGCCUUAGGAGGUGGUACAGUCACCUUUGCUAGGUACCCCCACACUUUCAAGUAUUUGUAUGAAGGUUUCUUCCUUUUCCAUAACUCAUAUGGAGUUUCGUCUCUCUUUUUGAGUGGUAUCCUGUUCAAGAGAUAAUUAGCCGAGAGAAUGGCUUCCCCCCACAGUUCGUGGCUCACCCCAGAACUUAUCAACAUGGCGUUCAUCAUUUCUUUCAAAGUGCGGUUCUUUCGUUCCGCCACGCCAUUUGAUUGUGGAGAGUAAGGAGGUGUACACUCAUGUACAAUGCCACUUUUUGCGCAUAACUCGGCAAAAGGUGCAACAUAUUCGCCUCCUCGAUCGCUUCGCAAAGCUUUUAUCUUCUUUUGAAGUUGAUUCUCAACUUCAUUUUUAUACAAGAUAAAUUUACUUAUUGCUUCAUCUUUACUUUUUAGUAAAUAUACAUAGCAAUAUUUAGUACUAUCGUCAAUAAACGUGAUGAAGUACUUAUUUCCACCUGUUGUGGGUACCGCUUUUAAAUCACAAAUAUCAGUGUGAAUUAAAUCAAGGGGUUCGGUUAUUCGUUCAACCGAUUUUGAUGAUGUUCUUGUAAGUUUGGAUUCAACGCAUGUUUCACAUUUAUAGUGUGAAUCAAUAUGGAAUGUUGGUAUACAAUUUAAAUUGAUUAAACGGCGUAUUGAAUUAAAAUUUACGUGACCUAAUCUACCAUGCCAUUUAUUCGAUUCAGAAAACUCAAGCAUAUAAGUAGAAGUAGUAGCAAUUUUAUUCAUGUUCUUGACAGCCAUUACAUUCAAUUUGAACAUUCCAUUUUGGGCAUAACCCUUGCCUACAUACGUUCCUCGUUUAGUUAGUACAAAUUGAUCGCUCUCAAAAACUAAACGAAAUCCAAACUUGUUAAGCAACCAUCCCGAGACUAGAUUCUUGCGCAAGUCUGGGACAUACAACACGUUGCUUAGAGUGAGCUCCUUCCCUGAAGUCCACUUCAAGAUCACCGUUCCUUCACCCAUGAUGUCAGCGGUGGCUGCAUUUCCCAUAUACAGCUUCUCUUCUCCAGAAAGCGCCUUGAAGGUGAGACUUUUGUCUGCACAAACGUGACGGGUCGCACCCGUAUCAACCCACCAACCUUUUGGAGUAUUGGUCACCGUAUUGACCUCAUCCAUCAUUGCGCUUUUGUCGGAAAUCAUUGCCACCAAAGGCAUUCCGUCUUCAUCCACCAUGUGCGCACGCUCACGCUUUGGUUUCUU